GCCUGGCGGGCUCAGUGGGUGGAGCAUGGGACUCUUGAUCUUGGGGUUGUGAGUUCAAGCCUCACAUUGGGUA
rnacentral:tRNA from 1 species